GAUGAACGCUGGCGGCGUGCCUAAUACAUGCAAGUCGAGCGAACAGAUAAGGAGCUUGCUCCUUUGACGUUAGCGGCGGACGGGUGAGUAACACGUGGGUAACCUACCUAUAAGACUGGGAUAACUUCGGGAAACCGGAGCUAAUACCGGAUAACAUUUGGAACCGCAUGGUUCUAAAGUGAAAGACGGUUUUGCUAUCACUUAUAGAUGGACCCGCGCCGCAUUAGCUAGUUGGUAAGGUAACGGCUUACCAAGGCGACGAUACGUAGCCGACCUGAGAGGGUGAUCGGCCACACUGGAACUGAGACACGGUCCAGACUCCUACGGGAGGCAGCAGUAGGGAAUCUUCCGCAAAGGGCGAAAGCCUGACGGAGCAACGCCGCGUGAGUGAUGAAGGGUUUCGGAUCGUAAAACUCUGUUAUUAGGGAAGAACAAAUGUGUAAGUAACUGUGCACGUCUUGACGGUACCUAAACAGAAAGCCACGGCUAACUACGUG
rnacentral:rRNA from 1 species